AUCGUGAGCUGAGAAAGCAGGAAGAAGUGUGAGAAGCACUAUGGGUGGGCUGGCUGGCUGCAUCCAAACCACCUUCUGGGAGGCUGCAGUGCAAGUGCUGGAGACCUGGCUCACUGAUGAUCCCAAACAAGGUCUUAGUUGGAACGAGGCACACUAGGAGCCAUGACAGACGUCCAAGGGAAGGACCCUUGAUGCAUUUCCCAGUGCCACCUCCCCAGCUGGGUUCCUGCAGUUUGGAAGGUAGGAUUUUGUCUCUUGAGACAUUCAGACUCUUCGGAGAAUAAGACCUACCAAUACUUGAGCAGUGUCCUAUUAAUUACAGAAGCACCGUCGAGGAGGCCAUGAUGAGAACAGAUGUCUGCUAGUUGCCAACCAGCACAGCUCCUGGGUGAUGGACUAGUGGCAUUCCUGAGUGUCCAACAUAUACAGAACAGGCCUGCUCUAUUAGAUAACUGUGAUCUGAGAAGUGAAGAUUAAGUAGUGGAUUUGUUCUUCCUUCAGAUAUCCAGAUACCUACAGUUUCUGUUUGUAGGAAUACACAUCCACCACGAAAGCAGUGAGUGUAAAGCAGAGAGGCAGGCCUCUCUUAGCUUUAAUGCAGAUGGCGUAGCAAAAGGAGGGAAGACAAUACAGCAGGAUGACUUAUGGUAAAACUGCUGGAGGGUCGGUAUUUUUGAACCCGAAAUUUUCCUGCAUCACAAGGAAACCUGUUACCUGUUACCCUGCAGACUCAUUAUAUAUGUGUAAUAUUUUGCCUUCUGAGAGGUUACUGUAGCUAUAUAUUCUGGCAAUAAUUUGUUUUCUGUACUCACUCUGCUGUUGCUAGGAGAUGAAACACUAACAGUAAUUUGCAUGACCCUUUCUUUGGAUGAUAUUAAUAUGCAGGAAUUAGUGCCAUCCAAAGCUGGUAACGUGACCAUCUACAGCCAGCCUCUUCCUCCUCACCUAGGUCUUGCCUCUGAGAAACGCAGUGUAUGAUUUGGUGCGGAGAAGUAGCAUGUAAGUCUGAGUACCGACAGGAAUAGGACAUAAAUUCCAUAGGAUUGUUCCCUCUUACUGAAAGCAUAAGAAUGCUUGGGGACAGAAAAUAAGUGUGUGGCCCAGGGUCUGUGUGAGAACUCACUGUAUGCAACUGGAAGUUGAAAGGGUAUAUCAAAAAUGUCUUUGGAAUGACACAUAAUCAAUUCAAACAAACAUAAUCAAUUCAAAAAAAAUUAU
rnacentral:lncRNA from 1 species